rnacentral:tRNA from 2 species
CAGAGCAUAGCUUAAAAAAGCACUUCGUUUACACCGAAUUGAUGUCCGUUAAACUCAGACUGUUCCGAG